ensembl:lncRNA
GUCAGAUCACAGCGGAGAUUUGUCAACUCCUUUCUUUGCUUUUGCACGAUGUGAACUUCUGCCUUCUCCCAUGGGGGUUUCUGUUGACCUCUGAUGUGAGAAGUCACAAAGCUCUAAAGCUGAAGAGACAUAUAGGUGGGUGAGAGAAAGUGAAAGACACACAAGGGGCAUGGAAGCCAUCAAAGGAAAGAAGAACAAACAAUAGAAGAUUAAAAGUCUGAAUUGUACAAAUGACACUCCUGGUUGCCAAGAAAGCUUUGAUCUUGAUAAUGACAGGAUGCGAUGGCUGGAAGCUGUAGCUCACAGGAUUCAUAUGAGAAGCAAGGAAUCAAGCUGUUCAGAAUGAGCCACAGACCUUGCUGAUGUGACUGCACAUUUACGGUAAUAUAAACUAAUUUAUAGUACAUAUGGAAAGGAGACUUCAUUUGGAUUUGGCAAUGGAACAAAAACACUCAUGUAUCUGGACUAAAUCUCAUAGAAUCACAGAGCAUCCUGAGCUGGAAAGGACCCAUGAGGAUCACUGAGUCCGACUCCACGCAGGACAACCUAAGAACGAAACCAGGUAUUAAAGAGCAUUGUCCAAAUGCUUUUUGAAUGCUAACAGGCUUGUGGCUGUGGCCACCCUCUCACUGAAGAAUAUAAUUGCUAAUGACUUUCCCAAACUGGCUGUGGCACUAAGGCUCAGUGCAGCAGAGUUGACUCAGUCAAAUACUCUGCAUUUCUUCAAAAACUGAG